AUACUAACUUCCAGUUUGAUGGAGAUUCCUUUCAGGGGGUCCUUUUUUCACUUGGACUCGGGGUAGAAUGAUGGAGCGUUUGGAUUGGACUAUUUGUAAUGGGUAUUGGAGGGAUUGGAGACUUGGUUACCCUGAUGGUUACGUACUGCAUUUACCUAAGAUGCAUUGGCCUCUACUUUUAUUGCCUAAUGGUGUUCGACA
rnacentral:misc_RNA from 1 species